rnacentral:pre_miRNA from 1 species
AGAGAGAGACAAAGAGACAGAGACAGAGAGAGAGAGACAGAGAGAGAAAUUCUCUCUCUCUCUGUCUCUCUCUCUCUUUCUGUGUGUCUCACAAUAA